UACGAAGGGGGCUAGCGUUGUUCGGAAUUACUGGGCGUAAAAGCGCACGUAGGCGGAUAUUUAAGUCAGGGGUGAAAUCCCAGAGCUCAACUCUGGAACUGCCUUUGAUACUGGGUAUCUUGAGUAUGGAAGAGGUGAGUGGAAUUCCGAGUGUAGAGGUGAAAUUCGUAGAUAUUCGGAGGAACACCAGUGGCGAAGGCGGCUCACUGGUCCAU
rnacentral:rRNA from 1 species